AUUGAACGCUAGCGGGAUGCCUUACACAUGCAAGUCGAACGGCGUGGCGAACGGGUGAGUAAUGUAUCGGAACGUGCCCCGUAGCGGGGGAUAACUACGCGCAAGCGUAGCUAAUACCGCCUCCUAUUGGAACGGCCUGUAGCGGUUUAGCUAGUUGGUGGGGUAACGGCUCACCAAGGCGCCGAUCCGUAGCUGGUUUGAGAGGGCGAUCAGCCAAACUGGGACUGAGACACGGCCCAGACUCCUACGGUAGGCAGCAGUUGGGAAUUUUGCACAAUGGGGGAAAGCCUGAUCCAGCCAUCCCGCGUGUGCGAUGAAGGCCUUCGGGUUGUAAAGCACUUUCGGCAGGAAAGCGGUACCUGCAGAAUAAGCACCGGCUAACUACGUGCCAGCCGCCGCGGUAAUAC
rnacentral:rRNA from 1 species